CACACCUCCAGGCAGGUCUGAUGCUUUCCUUCCGCGGCAAAACCGCUGUCACCGGGCUUCUGGGGGCCUGCGUGAAGCUCUAAAGGGAAUGCAGACAAAAUAACCCAAGUGACCUCUUUAUCUCCUUAGGGUCCGUGCCUGUGUCUCCCAGAAUUGCUGUCCAGCACUAACGCGUCUGUACGAGCACUGGCUUUUAAAAGCAGAGCGUUUGAGGCAAAACAGUAGCAACAGCAGCAGCGGAUGCACCAAACAGACGGACAGAGCCCGCACGGACGGACGGAUGGACGCGCGCUCACGCCUCGCCAGGCUGUCAUGUCUCACCUCUUACGUAACAUUCAAGUGAGAUUUCUCACAGUGCUACCUUGGCAACAAACUAAAAAUAUCUAGGCAAGGUCUUGGUUUAAGCCUUCUUCUAAAAGCUUUAUCCGUGUGAUUAUCUGGCAGUCUGGUUUGUCUCCGGGAAGGGAACAGCGGCAUUUGAGCACAGGAUGAAGGGGAGAACCCACUUGGGAAACUUACCCCAACUGGUCUAAUCGUUUCUGAUUGCACAGUGAGGUUACCUACGGCCUCCGCUUUGUGACCCUCGGAUUUAGGAUAAAGUGAGUGAGGAGUAGUUCAGGCUGAGGAGUUGCUCUGUGUUUUCUUGAAGGGGAGAAAGAGGAGGGGGGAUAUUUUUUGUAGCUCAGUGCAGAAACAUUCAUUUCAUACAGCAAGGUUCGGGGGGAAAUCUCUCGGGGACAUAAUUAAAUAAAGAGAGGGUGAGAACAAAUGCACUUGCCACACCUGUAUACCUUAGCUGAAAAGAAAUAAUAAUUAUAAAAUAAACACAAGGUUACAUAA